UACGGAGGGGGUUAGCGUUGUUCGGAAUGACUGGGCGUAAAGCGCACGUAGGCGGCUUUGUAAGUUAGAGGUGAAAGCCUGGGGCUCAACCCCAGAAUUGCCUUUAAGACUGCAUCGCUUGAAUCCAGGAGAGGUGAGUGGAAUUCCGAGUGUAGAGGUGAAAUUCGUAGAUAUUCGGAAGAACACCAGUGGCGAAGGCGGCUCACUGGACUGGUAUUGACGCUGAGGUGCGAAAGCGUGGGGAGCAAACAGG
rnacentral:rRNA from 1 species